GGAGCAGCAGGGCCUGUUGGGGACAGUGGGCCAUCUGGACUGGAUGGACAGCAGGGUCCCCCAGGAACAGUUGGUGAGGAGGGGCCAUCUGGCAGGAAGGGGGAACCGGGAGCUCCAGGUCCCUUUGGAAAGGCAGGGCCGAAUGGACUACAGGCAGAGCCAGGGCCACAGGGCUCCCAGGGG